rnacentral:rRNA from 1 species
CGUACACUCCUGCGGGAGGCAGCAGUGGGGAAUAUUGGACAAUGGGCGCAAGCCUGAUCCAGCCAUGCCGCGUGAGUGAUGAAGGCCCUAGGGUUGUAAAGCUCUUUCACCGGUGAAGAUAAUGACGGUAACCGGAGAAGAAGCCCCGGCUAACUUCGUGCCAGCAGCCGCGGUAAUACGAAGGGGGCUAGCGUUGUUCGGAUUUACUGGGCGUAAAGCGCACGUAGGCGGACUAUUAAGUCAGGGGUGAAAUCCCGGGGCUCAACCCCGGAACUGCCUUUGAUACUGGUAGCCUUGAGUUCGAGAGAGGUGAGUGGAAUUCCGAGUGUAGAGGUGAAAUUCGUAGAUAUUCGGAGGAACACCAGUGGCGAAGGCGGCUCACUGGCUCGAUACUGACGCUGAGGUGCGAAAGCGUGGGGAGCAAACAGGAUUAGAAACCCUUGUAGUCCCAUGA